GGUCGAAACAUUCGACCUGACAACGUGAGAACAAUUCACCUUUGUGCAAAAGCUCUGUGGCUCGUAAAGCUUCUUCAAUCGACUACUCACCACACCGCACACGUCGCCAUCGCAAGUUGAUAAGGCGGCGACAGAUCGACGACAAAAAAAAAAGACAACUGAAGAUGAUCAACAAAGCACAAAGCACACCAUAUAUACUGCACGUACAGACCGGCCAUAAACAAGCAUUGGUCACGGUCCCAAAGGUGCCUACCAUCGAUCCCCAACAAACAUCUCCCACCCAACCCAUGUAACAACAAACACGAACACCACACACUCCCCUGCAGCUAGCCCUACAAUAAUCGGCCCUGCAGGGUUUUCUUUUUUUUUUUAAUCGUCCUUAGCUUAACCCAAGGCUACACAAUCACUGGUGCAGAAAAAUAACUUAAUCCUAUCAUCAUCGUCGCCAUCGUCGGAGAAGGAAAGGCCUAAGCGGGUGCUAAUGAUAAUUAAGCAGCCUCAGAAUGGCCGGCGGGCUCUCUUCUUUACUACGGCGAAGAGGCCGGCCGGUUUCCUUCCCCGAACGCAACGCAGACCGAUGGAUCCUCGUCGUCGAGCGGCGGCGCGGGGCCGGCCCGGCUAGAACUGGCCGCCCUCGAAAGUCUGGCCGAACUGCCAGCCGGCCGGCGCGGCGUUGUUGCUGGUGACGCAGCGGCCGUCGCUGGCGGUGACCUUGAAGGAGAGGGCCUGGCCGUCGAGCAGCGAGUUGCUCUGCCAGUUCUGGCCCCAGUUGCGGGACAUGGCCUGCCACCCGGUGGAGGAGCCCUUGAUGGACACGGACUGCACGUCGCCGGCGCCGGCCACGUUGGUCACCAGCACCAGGUUGAAGUAGGAGUGGCCGUUGAUGGUGAACCGGAUCCCGCCCUUCUUCACGCACGGCACCCUGCAGCAGCGCGCCAGAGGUAUCGAUCAGUAAAAAAAACUGCAGUGAAAAAGUUAUCCAGUUCAUAAAAAAAAAGGUUCAUCCCGGACACGACACGGCAUGACAUGAGAGGCGAAGCGUUGCUGUCGCCGAUCGAGUGCGAUGCUUGCAACUUGCAGAAAUCACAAUCAAAUUGUAGCAUAGCCCACGUAACAUGGCAUGCAAGCCGGCCGUGGUGAGGGCGUGAGGCCCAGGCUCCAUCCGUUUGCUGGUCCGAAGAACUUAACCGACACCCGCACGGGGCGCACAAGAAGAAGCUAGUAAGUCUGGACCCACGUACCUCCUGUACGCGACGGGCACGAUGCCGGCGCGGUACUGCGCGAUCUGGAGGAAGGCCGGCUCGGCCAUGUCGAAGUGCGGGCGCGGCGGGUUGCACCAGCCGCCGUCGUCGCUGGGGAGGCCGUAGUUGGGCGGGCAGAAGUUGGUGGCCGUCACGGUGAUGGUGCCCGGCAGGCACGACUGCCCCGCGUUGUCGCACCGGAGCUCGAAGCACUGCCCGCACGAGGCGCCGUCGUUGAACAGCGCUGUGCUCAGCGCCGCCGUGUUGGUGCCGUACCCGGUGCUGUACAGGUUCCCGUACCCGCACGCCCCGCCUGCAAAUUCCAAUCAGUGUCAGUUCAACGGCGCCGCCGGCCUAGGUACGAACGACGAUGAUGAGUCUCUGCUUGUUCUAACAACGCAGCUCGACCAACCGACUCACCCAUUGUGCCGGACGCGUCGCCGCCGCCGUAGAACGUGGCGUGGGCGCUCUGCCACCCGCCGUAGUCGCCGGCAGCCCGGCGGGCGAGGAAGCAGAAGGUCGAGCAGAGCAGGAGGAAGAAGACAUUGGCGGUCGCCAUUGCAGCACACACACUGCUUCUCGAGCUAAAGCGAGCUCGAGCUGCUGAUUAGGGAUCGAGAGUUGCUUGGCUGUGAAGGGAGCGGCGCGCCGAGGCCAGCUACUUAUAGGCCCAACCCAACCAACGGCCAGUGCUCCCGGCAGUUGGAAUCGUUAGCAACUUUCGUGGAGGGCCAGGGGAAACCGAGACAAAAGAGAGAGAGGCCAGGGAGGUGGUGGGGGACGACUGGGCGGAGCGGCCGCCGACCACGCGAGGCCCGGUGCACGACGGCGGUUAGCGCAUACGAAUCAGGCGCACAUGCGAGUGCCCGUCGUCUCCGCGCGCAACUAGCCAACUAGGGACCAAACUGCUCGCUCGCGUGUGCGCAGGACAGACCGGGGGUUGCCCGGGCCCGGCGUGCUCGCGUGCCCACAUGGAUGGAUGGCUCCCGGCCGGCGUCAGCCGUGGGUCUGGGCUUAUUUGGCCAGUGGCGAGCAGAGAGGGGAAAAAAGAGAAAACAAUGAAAUGUGCGGCGGAUGGGUACGUCUAUCCAUUUCAGGACGCUGCUCGGAUCAUGAAUUGUUCGAGAGAUCAUCGCAGGGCGCACGCACGUUCUCCUGGCCCUGAUUGCCAUGAGUCCCGGGCUCCCGGCUGCACUGCAUCAUGGCCUGUCUGCUGUGGAUUCAUGUGUAUGCCAUGCGCGCACGUCAGUAGUGCUCAGUGUGCAGUGGAUGCUGCGCAUGGUUUCGAUGUGCAAGGUCGUAUGUAUGGCUAGGUCAAAAGGUAAGAAAAACCUGCGAUGCAAUUUGCUCAGGAUGCUCAUCAGCCAAGUUGCGUGUAGAGUAGCAAUGCUAGCUAGCAGCGAAAAGACGGCGAAUGCGAACCAACCAAACCGUUUGAGCGCUGCACAUGCUCAGGGAUCAGAUGCCUGAUUGCCCUCCCUUUUCAACGGCGGUGAAAGCUCCCUGAGAUAUUCGAAACUUGCGUUCUUCAGUUAAGCACCUUUAUUUGGGCGAACUCAUCAGUUAAGCACUUUUUAGCUGUGCUGUGCAUAAUCUCCAAAAGCUGCUGGAUGGUCGAUUUCCGAGAGGAUUUAGCUGUACGUUCGCCUUCUCAUGGGUUGUAAUCAAGCAGUUAAAACUGAACUGAUUCGUCGAUCAGCAUAAAGUAAUCUUCCUGAUGACUCCCGUUCGUCGCGCGUAGUAUGAACACUAGCAGCUAGUGUCACAGCCGUUUAUAGCCGAAACGAUCAGACUAACCACCGGAAUCUUCAGGCAGCAGGCGCAUAAACAACUUAUGUUCCUUACCAAAUACUCAGCGCUACGUGCGAAAACGUCGCUCAUCCCAAUGAUUAGCAGUUGAGAUUACAGUGUCGUUAACCGGGAGCCUCUCUGCCCCUCGUCGGCGCGUGAAGAGCGCUCACAUGCUCGCAUGAGCGCCUCGACAUGGCCACGUAGCUAGGGCGUCGGUGGAGCAUGACUGCAUGACCCCGGAGAUAGUUUAAGCCCAAGUCCUGAGACAAACCUGCAGGUACACUGCAUGCGCGCGCAGGCUAAGUCCAAGAUUUCGUCUGAUCCGGCUGACGCCGAGGAGCAGAUCGAGUCGCUUCAGCGAUCCCCGCCAUGUGGGCUGCGGCGGCUCCUGCAGGACAGGUGGUCGCAGCAGCGCAUCUCUUGCUUCAUCAGACUUAUCCCCCAAGAGGCCAAGACCUGCUCAGACAUGGAGCUGCCAAAAAUAAAACUAGCUCCAACCAAGUCAGCAUCGGCACAGACAUUUGCCAUGUUUUCUGGCUGAUUUGAGUUCAAGCGCAUCUUUUUCUCCGGGCACCAACCAAAAACGUGACAUGCUUAAUGCCAAUGCCUCCCUUUCUUUCUUGUUUGUACAGACAGAACGGUUGAAGCAGGCAUCAAAUAAAUGCGUACUGAGCACAUUUGAAGCUCAGACUUUAGAGAAACAGCUGACGGGUCAUUCUUGCCGGGAGAGCAGGCAGGCAUUGAGAAUUCAGACGUUUCUCCUUUUUUCAGAGCACGGGAACAGCGGUCAGUGGAUGUUCAGCUGGUGGAACGCAUUCACGCGAGAGACAAGAAAGUUCAUCGGGUUAGCUUCCCUGUCAUGCUCCGCGCCUUUAAAACGCGAUAUGAGCAUCGUCACAUGCGCGGCGAGGCUGCUAAUGCUAGCAGCUUCACGCUUUCGCAAAAGCAACAGUCUCUUCCGGGCCUGGUGGACCAUCCCUUUCGAGUCCCCACGCCAUGUUAGUUGCACAUGGGGAGGGAGGGAGGGAGGGGCGGAGGGCUGGCCAUGGCCAGUGGCCACCCGGAGAUCACGGGCAGGCGGGCCCUGUCAUCAGCGCUGAUUCUGAAUUGCCUGGUUCGCCUUCCCUUGGAAGCAUUCUACGCAGCAGCUAGUCCCCCCGGCACCGUAAGCUGAGUUCUCUGAAACGGGAAAAGGUGAUUUCCCUGACGAGUUUGGAUUAGCUUCGGUUGUGUCGUGAUUUUUACUUUUGACGGCUGUUGCCUUCUAAAUUAAGGUUAGCUUAACUCUGUUGUGCGUGCGCAACUGCAUGAGCAAAGGGUGUAUUUUGGUUUUCCCUUUUUUUCCCAACCUUAUUAAUAACCUCAUAGUCCAAAGUAGCAUGAACGGCACAAUGUAUUUGAGCAUCCUUUUUAUCUCUCUCCGUGUGUUCCUCAAAAACAAAUUAAAAUGGUUCAUCCUUAGCGGUAGAUGAGAACAAAACCGGAUGGAGGCGUCCACGUCCGGUAGCGGCGAUGUGAUGGCUGCACGAGGGAGUGAGGGGGGAACCCAUGUGGGGAGCACACCAAAAAUAGAUCGCAGGAUCGUCCCCUGACAGCGACCCGAUCGAGCUCCGGAACUCAUCAGGUCGCCCCGCGCGGCCCCACGCGAAAAGAGAGAGAUCUCUGUAAAUCCGGGAGAAGGCAACAACCUGCCCACUGUAGUGUAGAGUAGAGAGAAUCCCGUAGCAGGAUCGGCUACCGGUGUCGCGGAUUCGCAGAUCGGCUCCUGUAAUCCAUGCAUGAUAGUAGCGUCUUCCUUCGCCAAACCCCUCGACGUGCGGUGAGAGAUCGUAGCUGCAGAAAGGCCAUCAUGGUCUGCUGCUGCCAUUGCUAACAGUUGGGUGAUCGCGUGCCCAGCUUGAUGGCUGCUGUCUCCUCAUGAUGGCCGGAGGAGCUAUGGAGAAUCAUGGUCGCUUCCGCGACAGGCGUUAGGGGUACCGAGCGCAUGCAUGCAGGCGUCGUCCUACCGCCGGCGUUAGGGGAACUCAUCAAACGCCUUGGAGGAGAGACCAAGAAAAAAAAGCGAGAUCAGGGCCGCCCCGGUUGUGGAUACCGACGGCGAGCCGGAGGGAGGGAAAGCGCGAUCGAACCGACAGCGACGGGGCGCGCGCGCCCCCGGCCAUGUCACGCAAGAGUGGGUGGGUCACCGCCGCGCGGCCGCGGGUAACGAACCACCGGGCCUCCCUCCCGUUCGUUAAUGGCGCGCGAGGCCCCCCAACCGAACCGACGUGCAAGGCAUUGCCGCUCCCGCGUCGCUCUCCGGCGCGAAACCCUGCCUGCCAGUCGAGGCGGGCGGGGCUUCGUGGCGCGUCCCGUCGCGCGCCAGUUCGGCCCCGUGCCGGUGCCGGUGGUUAGCUGCCGCCUGCACGCUACCCCCGUCCCGUCGGUCGCCGGUCCUCUAGAAUAGACUCUCGAUCGGCCGGUCGCCCGCCCGACGGCCAGAGAGGUCGCGGUUGCGCGGCUGUUGCGGCCAUGUGCCCGCGGCGCGUGCCGAGGCGACACCGCCGUCGCCGUCAGGUCACGCGUCGCUGGCUGCUGUAGAGGGCCGAUGGGGAGGGAGGCGUGCCGGCGUGGCCCGGCCCGUCUGGGUGCCGGUCCUACUGCGUGCAGGGUGCUGCGAGCGCCGCGCGGUGCGCCCGGCGUUUCGACGCGUCUCGGCGACCCUGUUCGUAGUUGAUACUGCACUUUUUCGUGGGCUCCCGCAAAGAGUUUCUCGAGGAGCCCAAUUGCUUUUUUCGUAGAGACUAACUUUUGAAACGAAUAAGCCCAGUUUCCCGCAGAAAAAGGCCGAAGGCGUAGCAAAUCUACUGGCGGAAAGGCGCGAGCUGCUUUGAAGGAAAGCUUCUAGCCCAAUAAUCCCGAACCGGGCCAAUCGCGCACUAGACAACGGGCCGGGCCUCUGGUUCUGGAGAACUGCGGGCCGGCUGGGCAUUUGUCCUAAGUGCCCACUUAGCGGCGCAGUAGGCCGUAGGCCCGUAACACGCAGCUCACCGGGCUCCAGCCCAGUGUGCCAGAUCAUAUCUGGAUCAGCCAACAUGACGUGAUUCCGGUGUGGCUUUAGCUGUUCUGCACAAAUCUGGGUACUGUAGCGUGAAAUAAUUUUCUAAACUUAAUCCAAAAUAUAUUAGAAGCCGGUUAAAAUCAGUUAUUUUUACUUCAUCGAGUUUGACCGUUUUGGAAGAAAGCUCUCCCAAACAUCUCCUUCUAAUCCUCGAAAAACAAACACCACCUCGCGCUCUCCAACCAUCCGUGCAGCGGUGCAGAGGCUACAGUGCCGGCUGGAUCGUCAGGAUCGAACACCCCCGAUCGCCUCGAAAUGAAUGGCGGUGCAGUGGGGGCAGUUAAUUCUCCCACCCCAGCCAGCUGCCAACGACCUUCGAACCACUGCCAUCAGUGCCAUGUGUGGUGCUUGCACAAUUCCGUCAGAAAUCGCCAUUUGCGUCCACAGCUCCUCGACGAGGAAGAAGAUUAGAGGCCCUGCCCAGGGCCAGCGGGCUUUCGGAAGCUACUAGAGAGAGAUCGGCGCGGCGCGAGGGCAAGUAGAAGUAGGUCCGGGGGCAUUGACGGCGCCUGCCUGCCGCACGUCCUCCGCCGACGGAGGCAGAGGCAGAGGCAGGCGCUGUAAAUGGCGACGCAGCGGAGUGGCUCUCACAUGGCUCCAUAAAUCGCCGGCCCGUCCGCCCUCCUGCAAUCCUGCAGCGGCCUGCCGCCGACGACGCAUGCCAUGGGGAUGGGGCCGCGGAUCCAAGCCGCAGCAGCGAGCAGCGUCCGCCCAGCCUCGCCUGCGACUCCAUUUACGCUCGAGCGCAGAGAUGAUAUAUAUAUGCAGGUGUUGGAAACUUGUCCGCCACCCACACUGCGGAUCGGACUCGCUAGCUGCGCGGAUUAGCGAUGGAUGGUUGGGACCAGAUCGCUAAACCCUAAACCCUGGUGGUCGUCGUUUAUUUAGAUCGGGUAAAUCAGUACGUGGUUGAUGCCCGUGGUAAAACAAACGCAACACAGAAGGACCGAGCGUUUCUACAAACAGACAUGGUCCACAAGUCGAAAGGAUUUAGUUUACCCCUCCCCACGAAAAGGUUCCUAUCCACGAGUAGUCGAAAAGGAUGCGACAGGCUGAGCCACGCACUGACGCCAUGUACAGUGCACCGUGGGUACGGGUUACGGGGGCCGUAUGGGUUUACCAGUGACACCCACAUGGACGGUCUGCAUGAGCCAGGAGCUGCUCUCUUGCCCAAUCCAUGGCAGCCAAGUAGCCGAGCUGGCCAAUCCAGACCGGGCUCUGGCUAUGGCUGCCUGGCUCGCUCAGUCGAGAGUGUGUGGAUUAUUGUCAAACAUGUACGUUGGAUUCCUUGUAAUCUUUCAGACUUUCACGGUGCUGUUUUCUGAAAUCUUUUCGAAGCAAAUAGUAGGUGGUCAGGAGCUAUUUGAGCUGGCCGAAAUUAACCCAUGACCAGGCGAAGCACUGAAAGAUGCUACAGCUUCUCGUAGUAAUUUACCCCAGCGAUGCAUCUACCAGCGAACCACGUCUUUAACUCCUCCCCUGAAUGCACUCAACCACCCCCGUAAUAGUAACAUUCCCCCUCCGCUAUAUAAACCCCUCCACGGAAACCCUCGUCUCCCCCACACCACCAACCAGCGAAUCACAGACCACGCACCACUGCACUCAGGCCAUCUUCUUCUUCUCGUACGAGUAGAGAGGUAGCUAGCAGGCAUGGCUGGUCCGAGGCUCGCGACGCUGGCGCUGGCCGUGCUCCUGGCGGCGGCCGUGGCGGCUCCCCCGGCGGCGGUGCGCGCGGCCCUGUCGUGCAGCACCGUGUACAACACCCUGAUGCCGUGCCUGCCGUACGUGCAGAUGGGCGGCGCGAUGCCCCCGCAGCCGUGCUGCGGCGGCAUCCGCAGCCUGCUGGCGCAGGCCAACAACACCCCCGACCGCCGCACCAUCUGCGGCUGCCUCAAGAACGUCGCCAACGGCGCCUCCGGCGGACCCUACGUCACCCGCGCCGCCGCCCUGCCGAGCAAGUGCGGCGUCUCCCUGCCCUACAAGAUCAGCACCGAUGUCAACUGCAACACGUACGUGCCGCCGCCCGGGCACGAUGCCCGCUAGCUGCUCUCUACGCUUUGAUGUUCUCAUCGACUCAUCUCCUGCCCGUCCUGUGUUCUUCUGCGUUUCUGACGUGCUGUGACUGUCCAUUUUUUCUUUUCUUCCUUCUUGUCUGUGCAUGCAGGAUUAACUGAGGCGUCCCGUGCGAGGAAAUUCAUGGCGGAGAAUAAAUGAAGUGCUGCUAGUAUUUAAGAAGCUAGAACGGACUAGUAGAUCGAGAGGUGUGCUUGUCUCUAGUCGUCGUCGUUGAUGGUGUUUAGGAAUCGUCUGAAGAAGUUCCUCCUGGUGUCUCGUGGAUGUUCGCGCGAGCAGAGUACUAGUCAUGAUUGUCAUGAACCUGUGUGUGCGCUUCUGUGCACCGUGCCUAUGUAUUUCCUCGUGAAACUACCUAUUGUUGCAGUUUCAUCGCCGUGUGCUUUGUUUACGUGUGACUCUAGAAAACACCCCCAUGAAACUGAACUAUGUUAUUGGCAUGGUCCAUUUCAAAUUUUCAAUUUGCCAUAGUUAGAACACAACGGGAACACAAGGUCCUCCGAUGACUGGGAAACUCGCUAACCUUAAUGUGAACUUCCUGUGGUAGAAGCUGCAAAGGACAAACUUCAAGUACCCUUUCUUGGUGAACCGGUGCUCCACGAAGCUAACAGUCAUCUUCUUCCCGAACCCCAAGGACGCCGACUUCCUGGACGAGGAGUUGGAGAAGCAGCUUCGACUUCCAAAGCCAUUUGGGCCGGCCGUGUCACGGGAGCUUUCCGUCAGCCGAUGUCAAAUUUCAAAUCCACAGACGUCGUCCUGUUUCCGGAUCGAAGGCGUUGCGCUGCCGGCCGAGGCGUGUCGCUCUACGAACCAUGCAGGCCGGAGCUGCUUCUUGAUUAUGAAAUUUGAGAUGGCCUGCCUUUUCUUUUUGAAUUUCUAGACAGCAGACGGCUAGUUUCUGUGCAUGCCUCUAGCGGACUCCCAAGGCAGCACGACCGCUCCCGUUGCUGAAUCUACGCUCGGCCGUAAGUUUCAAAACUUACAGCCGAUCCAACUUCGUAAGAGUUAUUCUAUAACGGAAAACACUCUCCCCCAGCAUAAUUUCCUCCCUUUUUAUUUUUCCUUUUCUUUGCCUAGCUCCUGUCGGUGACUAAGUUUGUUUCCAAAAAUUUUCUUCCAAAUUAGAUAUUAAUUUUUGGAAGAAUUUCUGAUUUUUUAUUCUACAAAAGUUAUUACUAAAAACUUUGUCUACCAAGUUUGAUCUUAAGUUCUGCUUUCAAUUUUUUUGCUUCUGAAUUUUUGUUCCCAAAAUUUGUUCUCCAAAAUUUGUUCUUAAAUUUUGUUUUUCAAAUUUUUUUCACCUGAAAUUUUGUUCCAAUUUUUUUAAAUUUCAUUGAAAGUUGGUUUCAAAAAUUUUCCCAAACUUUUUCCCUAUUUUUUUUACAAUUUUUUUAUUUCUAAGCUUUUAUAUAAUUUUUCUCUUUCUACAAUUUUUAUCUUUGCGAUUUGAUCAAACUUUGUGUAUAUAAAUGUUUGUAUGUAAUUUUUGUGUAUAUAAUCUUUUAUCAAAUUAGAAAGGGAGAAAGGGACAUACGGACGGUAGUUUGGUCGGCCUGUCGGAAAUCGAUCGUACGGAAUGCUCCGUACGGUCGCCCGUAAAUUAGGGUGCCCCACGACCGCUCGCCCAGGUUCUUUCCUUCACGGCAUCCAAUCCUGAAGAAGUUGAAGCCGUGAACCGCCGGUGCCGCUCGGUACACCAUCCUCUGCCCCAGGUUGGGCCUUUUCAUUUCGUUACUUGUUACAGUCCUGGGCUUUUGUUUUGCUUUGUUGCUGUUUUAGAAUUUGGGCUUCCAUUCGUUUUCGGCCCAGUUUGUCCCUCUUUGCUGCUGCUGAUUCUGGCGCGUCAACACGUUCAGCGAAGGAUCCCUAAGAAAAGAACAAGUUGGGUUUACACCUUUGAAUCUAAUUUACAACCUUAAACUAUAAAACCAGAUAAAAAAGAUCAUCCAAAUGUUGAAACCGGGCAAAUUUGGCCUUUAGGGUGGUUUUGAAGUUGGUUUUGUAUCUUUUCAAAAAAAAUUUAAAAAGUCUAAUUAGAUAAAAAAAUCAAAACUAAUUUAUUUUAAAUCAGAAAAAUACGAAACUAGUACAAAAAUUUUUCUAAAAAUAUAACCUAUCUAUUAUUUCUCUAUUUUAAUCUUAUUUAUUAAAAAUAAUAGAUAUAACUACAAGCAACCAAAUACUAUGAAUAUAAAAAAUAGAUCCGAAUAAUUGGCAAGUAUAGUGCCAAUAGAUAGGUUACAUUUUUAGAAAAAUUUUGAAUCUCAUUUCAUAUUUUUUGGAUUUGAAAUGGAUCAAUUAUGAACUUUUUAGUUUAAAUUUGAAUAUUUUUAAUUUUCAUAAAAUGAAAAAUCAUCUUCAAAACCACCUAAGGGCCAAAUUUGUCCGAUUUUGACAGUUGGAUGGUCUCUCUUAUCCGAUUUUGUAGUUUAAAGUAGAAAAAUAGGAUUUUUACGAUAAUUAAAAAAUGUAAACCGAACUUUUUUAAAAAAAAACGUUUAGCGAAGGACAGUUACAGGGCGGGGUCGACGAGCGCUGAUCAGAUGAGUCUUAUCUCCGCCUGCGGCUACAAAAUGCUCGUCCUCCUGUGCUGUUCCUCGCCACUGUCGCAGCAACAAGCACCUAGGCCCAACAGGCAGGGCCACCAUAGACCUGCAAGCGAGCCCCCAAGAGUGUCCUGUCCAUCGAGUGUUUAACCAUCGAGUGCCUGAACACUAUCAAUGAUAUACGUACAUGGCACCUCUACGUUCCGUCGUCUACAAAAUGGACCUUCGAGAUUUAAGUAGGCGACUGUUUAACAAAACCAUGAUUUAACUAUGUGGCAUUCUCCUCAGAUGGUGAUAAUAAAUAUUUAUAUAUUUACAUCAGCUCACAUCCAAUAGAUUUAAUUUAUAGCAUGAUAGUAUCAACCAAUUUCAUGCGAGCAUCAAUUUCAGGGUAACAAAAGUGGCAAUUUCUAUUCAUAGCGCGCGUAGCAGCGUGCUGUGGCGUCGCAGGAGGUCUUUAGCCCCCCGCCCCCGCCGCCGCCACCCCCCCCCCCCCCCGCCCGCAAUUCCUUUCGAGUUUGGACGGCGUGUCCGUGCAGUUUUUUUAGAGGUGUCCCGACGGGCUCGUGUCGGUUAAGGCCCGGUCCAGGAAGGCGCAUAGUUUGGCUGGCGCAGAUUUUUCUUCGGUAAGGUUCAAGUUAGACUAAAAGUGAGAACAUUCUGAAAUUUAAGAAAAGUCAACAUUUUUCGAAAAACUUUCAAUUGUUUUCAAACAAAUAUGAAAUGUUUCAAACAUUCGGAACAUUCUGAAGUGUUUACAAAACUUUUAGAAAAGCUCGAAACUUUUUUUGGGAAACAACAUUUUUUCAGGACACUUUUAAUUGUUUUCAAACAAAUCUGAAAUGUUUCAAACAUUCGGAACAUUAUGAAGUGUUUACUAAAUUUUAGAAAAAUGCGAAAUAUUUUUUGGAAUUAUUUGGUCAACAUUUUUUUUUGAAACACUUUUAAUUGUUUUCAAACAAAUUUGAAAUGUUUCAAACAUUCGGAACAUUCUGAAGUGUUUACUAACUUUUGGAAAAGUGUGAAAUAUUUUUUGGGAACUAUUUGGCCAACAUUUUUUCGGAACACUUUUCACUGUUUUCAAAUAGUUCUGAAAUGAUUGAAACAUUCGGAACAUUCUAAAGUGUUUACUAACUUUUAGAAAAGUGCGAAAUAUUUUUUGGGAACUAUUUGGUCAGCAUUUUUUUCGGAAAACUUUUAAUUGUUUUCAAACAGUUAUGAAAUGAUCGAAACAUUCAGAACAUUUUGAAGUGUUUAAAAAACUUUUAGAAAAGCAUGCAGCAAAUGGCAGCGCGGGUUAGCUUUUGGUCAACGGCUUAAUGGGCCUCCAGUUAGCUUCCGCGUCCGCACGCGCGCGCCGCGCCCUCAGCAAAUUCGUUCUGCGAUUGAAUCGACCUAAAUCGCUUAACGCGACAAGUAGACGCCCCCAACAAAAGUAGUACACGUCCACGCGAACUUUAGAUCCUGUUUGGAUUGGAGGAUUUUUAAAGGAAAAGUGGAGGAAUCUGAAACGGAGGAAAGGAAAAAUCCUCAAUUCCUUUCCUCUGCAAGCCUGUAGCAGACCAACCAUUUCACAGGAAAUAAAACAUCCACUCCAAUCCCUUGUUUUUCUUCCCUUCGCGUAUGCCCGAGGCAGCGCACGCAAAGAACAUCAGAAAAAUCGAGCUGAGCCGCUGGAGAAGAACAUGUUCCUUGCUGAUAUCUAGAUGUCUCCAACUUCUUCCGUCUAGAGUAGACCCUUGCUAUCGCUCUCCCAUUGGUGGCCGCCUACCGGCGCUGGCGUGCUCUCACUGAAGCUCGCCGCUGUGGACCUGUGGUGCUUAUGCUACCUGCCUACCUUGCUCCGCUCAAGGCCAGCUGCUUGGCUUCUUCAUCGGAAGGGGAGAGAACGAACGAAGGAAGAGAAUGAGAAUGAGUGGACCAGAAUGAGAGCAAGAGACGGGUUGUGAAGUUUUUCCUUGUUAGCCAACGCUGAUGAUGGGUCCUAGUUCAUUGGGUCCCUAUGUCAGCAGCUCAAUAGAUGAGAGAUGCACAUGGCGAUAGCAGGUUGCCGGGUUUUUUUCCCUCCAUUUGCGGGAUCCACAUGAGCUCGAGUUUCCUAGGUUCUUAUUCCUGCGUUCCAAACACCAAUUUCUAUAUUUCCGUCACGAUUUCCUUUCCUCUGUUUUGCCAAUACACGCAAACCUUAUUCCUUCGUUUUUUUUUCCAUUCCUCUGUUUUUCAUUCCUUUGUUCCAAAUAGGCGCUAAGAUGAACUCGGUGAUGUCAUGACAGCAUCAACCAACUUCGUGCGAGCACCAACUUUAGACCAACAACAGUAGUACACGCCCGCGCAGGUCAAGAUAAACUCGGAGAUAGAAUGAUAGCAUCAACUUCGUCGUCCCGAAUCUAAUCUAGCUGCUGAUGCUAUCAUAAUAGAUUCGUAGAUCAAAUUUAAGUUAGUACUUAAGUGUGAACUACGAAUCUAUCAGUCUCUACUUACUGCUAAAAGAAAGAUCCAAACAAAGAAACAAGAGCAGAGGCGGAUCCAGCGUGAAGGAAGGGGCCCCGCCCCUAUGAUACAUUCGACGGAUGGUGCGGACGGCACACCGUGAAUGAGCUCUGGAGCUAGUGGAGGUGGAGCUCGGCCAUGUCGUGGAGGCGCUGAGCGUAGCGUGGCAUCAUGCGUGCAUUAACCGUGUAGGGAUCCCUGCGGAGCAAAGGAGCUGGAGAAGACGAAGGAGAGCACUGGUUGAUCAACUCUGCGGAAGUACUGGACGUUUCGGCUCAGCCAAUACAAAUACGGCGCACCGGACGUGUAGACCCUCAGUGGCCAGCGGCCAGCGCGGUGACUUGUCCAGGUACUCCAUUCCAAAUAGGUACUCAUCCCAUUUGGUUGCUUGGGUGAGAGCCAUUCCUAUGAACGCUGGCACUCAAACACCGGAAUCCUCGUCAGGCAGAAGAGUCUCCCUGAUCGCGCCGGAGCAUACCAAACACUGGGACCUUCUCUUCGCCCACCUGGGCUGCUUGUUCAUUACGGCCCAAUUCAAUACGGCCUAUCACCAUGUGAAGGUUAGGUGAAUCGGGUCUCUAUGAGCCAAUUUCAGAAAAACAGCGGCUCUGAACAUUUUAUGCUCUUUUAUACGAAUAAAGAAAGGGAGUGUCUACAUGUCACCUGGUUGAUUUUGUGUUAUGUUUUCAAUCACUUUUUGCACCAACAGGAUGUUGACAUGCGAGCAGUAGCCUAGGAAGGAAAAAAUGAUUGAUACACACAACUAAUAUCACUCGGAAAAUCUGGAACAAACUGCAUUGCAAAACUGAUUGAUAAUGAGCACGAAUAUCCUUCACAUUAUUUUGUGCACAUCUAACUGUCCCCACUGAUUCAUGAAUGAGCUGGUCACGUGCUGAAAGUGCAUCUAGGUCUAAUGACCUAUUUUGGUGAUUAAUAACAACCUAAAUAAGUAUCUAAUGUUUCAUUUGAGUAUAAUGAGCAGGGGUCAAAGAAACCAAAAAGAAGAAAAGAAAAGAAGUGAAUCUCGACGAUCAUUCAAAGUUGGAGAACGGUACCGGAUCAAGAAAACAGUUGCAAGCAGAGAAAAUUAUUUGUUUUAUAUUUUUAUUAAGUUUAAGUAUACCGUACUAUCAAGGGGGAUGUGAAAAGUGUGUGGAAGAUCACCAAUAAAUCAAAUCCGGAGUGUAAGUUCUGUAGGAAUUUAUGCAAAUGCGAGAGCUCCUGGCGGACAGUCCGCCAGGUCGCUAAAUCAGCCUAAGUCCGAGAGCUCCUGGCGGACUGUCCGCCAUCCGUCAGGUCACUAAAAACUGCCUAACGGCUAGUUUCCAGUGAGACCAAAUAAAUACCCCACGACCCCCAAACAAGAAAUAUCUCUUGCCUAACCAGUGAAACCGAGUCUCAAGCACAUCUUAAGCACUCUAAAGCUUCCCAAAGUGAAACUCUAACUUCUCCACUCCAAAUCCUUGGUCUAGGGUUGGGUUUGAGCAAGAUUCAAGCAAGAUUGAGUUCUUUCCAAGAGAUUCACCUCUCUUGGGAAUCUCUUGGCACUCUCCAUCGCUUUCCACAUCUAUUAUUCUUGGAGCUUGGCUCCUAGACGGUUAGAGGUGCUCAAGAACAACCAACUCGUGGUGUGGUUGUCUUGAGAAGUUUGUAUUACCCUCGUUGCUAGUGAAAAGCUCAAGUUUGACCUUUGUGGUUGCUUGAGAGAGGAAAGGGUUAAGAGGAACCCGGUCCUUUGUGGACUCCUCAACGGGGACGUAGAAUCCUUGAGUGGAUUCGAACCUCGGGUGCAAAUCUUGUGUCUCUUGUGCUUAAUUAUCUUACUUCAUUCUUGUGUUUUUGUUAUUCUUACCGAUGUCUAGUAUUCUUGCCCGAUCUACUCGUGUACUUACUUUGUGCUAGAUUGCUUCCGCAUUUAGUGUUCCUCACUUGUAUUAGAGUCUUUCUAUUCAAAUAGAUUUUGGAAUACAAGUUUUAUUCUUUGAAAGAUUGCAUUUCUUUCCCGAGACCUCCCAGCGGACGUUGGAAGUGCCCAGCGGACACUCCCAGCGGACAGUCCGCCAGGCAGCCUCGGGCUGAGUUUUUGUGUGCAGGUUUUAAGCGACGAUCGCCUAUUCACCCCCUCUAGACGUACUUUUCACAUGCCCCCUCCCUGUGAAAGUGAAUGGAAAGAUGAAUAAGCGAAUUCAUCUAGAAGUUCCUAAACUGAACACUGACUAUAAAAGUAUGGAAAUUAAUAAAAUAUGUAAAAGAUACACUGAAAUUAACCAAAAGAAACUGAUUGAAUAGCAUAGAUGACAUAUGAGCAUACUGAUUAUAUUUUUAGAAGAAUAAUCCAUUAUACAAAGAAAUAGAUUAUCCCCUAGCUAGAGAACUGGAACCAAGCAUGGAGGCAUGAAGCAAAGGAACUAAGCAUGAUGCUAGUUAAUGUCACACAUUAUUCAGUUAAUCAACCUUGACAUUAAGGUGGAGACAUGAAAAUGAAAACUAAAUAGAUGAACACUGAAUAUUCAGUUAAUGAACCUUGACACUAAGGUGGAGACAUGAAAAUGAAAACUAAAUAGAUGAGCACUGAAUAUUCAGUUGAUGUCACAAAUGAUAUAGCACUGACUAAAUUGGAUAAUGAAUAAGACUAAGAUGGUGGAGACAGAACACUGAAUAAGAUUAAAAUUGACGGAAUAUGGUACUCAAAGUUGAACCAUAACACUGAUCAAUUAACUGAACCACCUUUAGUACUGGAUGAUCCAUGUAGUUAAUAUAUGUGGUAGGGUUGUAGGGACUACAAACUAAACAAUGAAUUAGAUCUAAACAAUAUUAACUGAAAAUGAAACUCAAAAUUGAUAACACUUGACCAAGCAUAGGUGAUAGGUGUAAUAGAAGUGGUUUGAUACAGAGCAUAGCAGCUUCAAAUAUAUGGUACUCUAAAUCAUCACUCAGGAUACAAGAGGAGACCAAACUAAUUAUCAUAGGAGUUGUGCCAAGAAAGAAAUCCCCAAAUUAGAGUUUAGACAAGGUAGAUUGUAUUGCAUACAUGGAUCAAUUCUCCAAAGCCAGUACACGUGUUAAGGAUGUAUUUAAUCAGUUAGUAAAACCUUCGGCCCAUGAUGGUCUCCGCGACGGCCUCCACGCAUGUCACCGCCGCAGCAGCUUGACCAUAGUCGCUUGCUCGCUUGCUUGCCCCUGGUGAUUCCUAUGCUCCGGCUCCUCACUUUCUCCUCACUUUGCGGCGGGCGCUGAGUAGGAGGACUUGUUUUACCUCCCAGCCGCCGCACCAGCAAACGAAUCACGAAUGGCCGACACGGAAGGAUCGGCUGAAAGGGCCCCUCCCCGCGCCUCCUGGCCAAGAGCGUCCAUUGCCAAUCGGACGCCCCUUUUUUUGGCAGAUUGCGAGGUCGUGGUUCGAGGGGAUAAUUCCCGACGCGAUUGAUUUGCCGCCGGAAAAGCAGAUCGACGGUGCCGCGACGGGACCCGGGACGGGAAGUCGAGUCCGGGAGUGAGGUUUCUGUUGGCUCGAUCGAUCGGCCGGCGACGAGACGGCCACCGAUGGCCGAUCCGCAGCCACAAGCUGCGGCCUGCGCGCUGCGCCACAAGCUCGUUGAGCUCGUCGCCUCUGGUAAUCCGAGCGACCGGCCUCUGAUCGACUGAUCAUCCUGGUGGAUCCCGCUACUCCGCUAGCGCUUCGAGUCGAGCCUAUCUCGAUUCCGAGCACAAAGGAGCUGGGGGGCCUAGCUCUGUCUCGCUCCCCAUUUGUGCAGAGUAGAACAUUCUGUAGAGGACGGAUGCGACCUGCUUCCGCGUGAUCCUUGAACACACUCUCUGCGGAUUGCGAAACGGGAAUGGAUUCCUCGAUCAAGCACUCACCUAGCUCCUUUUCGCUUCUUUUUUUUUCCCCCAAGUCGAUCGAUCGGUUGGCGUGUCGACACCAUCGUUUAGUUUGCUGCUACAAAGUACAAACCAUCGGCCUCUCUUUUUUCACUUCUCCACUAGGUCAGGUGGCACGUUCAACGCCAGCGCGAGGCCGAUCUCAGCACAGUAAAAAGUUCACGCAACACAGACUGGGUACUUUACGCCAACUGCACUUGCUGAGGUGCGAGGCUUCGAUCCCGUGGCGGCUUCUGAAUUGCUGGCACGGAUCCUGACGCGUAAGAGGCAUCGCCUUCUGCAGGGCGCGGCCAACGGAACGGGCACACAUCCAACGUAGCGCGCGUAAUCCCCUCCUGGAGGCGGGGCCCGCCUCUUUGGCCUGGUGCACGCAGGAUAUUUUCCACUUUAUUACCCCUGGGAAAGGGGAACAGCAAUAGCAAGAUACAAAACGCCCCGGGCCCACCAAUAAAUAUCUCGCCGGUGGCUCGGAAAACCGCGCACGGCAUGCAUGACGUAGCAUCUGCGCAGAGCUUACACGCGACAAAAAGGAGACAGUAACGGCACAACACGGCAGCACUAGUACAUAGGAUUAGGAAAGCUUAGUGUGGGUCAGUGGGGGAUCUGCAUCCUUGUUAAACUAGAAUUUGGUGAUCAGCUGAUCCUUAUCGGAGAACGGGGAUGCUCCUGAGAUUAUCCCUGAUGCAUGCAUGCACGGUUACUCCACACAGAGUUGAAACUGGAGCUGAAAACUUGGGUGCUUGAUGAGAAAACCACACACAAGCUAAGCCGCAGAUGACGACAGGUGCUAAGGAACCUCGUUCCAUCGUAUUGGGCUGGAAAAAAUAAAUCUGAUCGCAAAUUGCUGACACCAUCUUAUAAUACAACGUACCUGCCAUGUCCAAACACAUUCUGCGUAAGCUAUGCCUGGACAAGAGGAGGCAGACUAACGAAUGAGCUACCAGGAGCAAGUUGAUAAGUCCAAGGGCACUGUUUCAGCUUUCACCAGCACCACCAAACCAAAGCCACCUUUGAAAAGGAACGGUGCCAUCACAAAAAUGACAGUACCAUCAGUGGUUGGCGUCCAUGUCCAUGCACGGCUUUUCAACCUCGCAAUCGGAGCUGCACAUUUGCAAGGGCUCCGGAUUAGUUAAACGGGACACACACUGACACACAACAUCUACCUGACCAGAUAAACUAUAUGCAGAUCACGACAGGAGGUUGCUGAUCCUUUUGAAACCUUUACUGCGCACCCGUUUAAUCUGGAAGCUAGGAAAGGAGGAGUUCGUGCUGCACUGACGGCGCUUUUGUGGCUCUAAUUAGUUGGGGGCGUGUUCAGAUGAGCACGCACUACGGCUGCGUGCGUGUGCGGCCAUUUCUGUAUUGGCGCUUUGCCAUCGGACAGUGACAGCCUGAGCUAACGUAGAGUAGUUGAGACCAGAGAUAAGGCUGCGGCUGGGCUGGGCUGUCUCCGGAAAAGCAUCCUGUUGCUGCCUGAAGCGGCUGAUGGCACCGCCUGUCACAGGCGUACGUAUUGGUUGAUAAGCAAAGGUUACCCUUUUCUUUUCCCUCUUAGUGCGCCUCCUAGGGUCUAACUGUUUAAGGAUAGAUUAGACUAUACUUUACGGUAGAUCGGCGGAGUGUCAGGGGCUGAUACGGUGAUGCAAUGCACGCGCACUACGCAGAGUUAACCUUCGAUGAAAGGAACUGCUACGGAGCUGACAGGAGCAUAAGGCACGGCGCAGUGCGGGUUGCGGCCGUCUUUGGCCUGUUCUGAAUCCUGAUAUUUGCAACUUUUUUUAACAUUUACAAAAGGUACAUAUUUAACUGGCACACCGGAUUUCUCAUAUGAAAAGAAAGAUUGCAGGUUCGGAGGAUUUUUUCACUAGAUAGCGGCGCCCAUCCAUGAACUUCCAAAAUGGUUGCUCGAGCCUCUACACUACACUACACACGUCAGCAAUUCAGCAAAUGUUUGCGUGCAGGACUUGCAAGUGCAAGCCAACACCCCGCCGCUCCGCGACAGUACAGCCGAGCGGAGGCCGACACGCCGGAGCCCGGCCGGGCCGCCAGCCAAAGCAAACCAAAAGAGCACGCGCGGGUUUGCAUCACCGCACGCGCGUGGCUAGCGCCAGGUGCACGCGCGGCGAGCGCAUCGGACACAGAUAUUUCUCAUGUGAGGCGCGAGCUUUCGGGUGCCCCCACCGUAACGUGACCCGGUGCCGACCGGCCCUCCGCCCCAACCGCCGCCGGGCGGCCCUGCUCCGCGAUCCUCCCCGGUCCCCGCCUAUAAAAUCUUCCUCCCACGGCCGCUUCCGCCGGGGAGCUUUCCACUUCACGUCCGGCCCUACCUGCAGCAGCCGGCCCGGUUCGUCGCGCGCCACGCGAGACCGAUCAAAAGGCCGGCUCGAUCACACUGAUCACAAGCAUCAAACUUUUCCGGGCCAAGACGGAUAGAUACGGAGCGGGUGCUAAAGCGAAGCGAGAGCGCUCUCCACUGGUGGAGUGGUGGUGACCGCCUAUCGUGGUGGCUGGAGCAGCAUCACCUGUACCGCCGGCGCGUGAUUGCACCACGAGCCGUGUUGGCGGAGACGGAAGGUGAAGAGGGAGAGGAGGGUGGUGGACUGGUGGAUGUCCGGAGAUCGAGCGGCGGCGUCCAUGGGCGUGCACGGGCGGUCGAUGGGCUGGUACCUGGGCCCGCCGGAGUCGCCGGCGCCCGGGAGCGCCGUCGCGGGGGCGCAGCACGCGCUGAGCAGCAGCCCGGGGAGCGGCGACGCCAGCUUCGACACCAACAUGGUCAUCAUCCUCGCCGCGCUGCUCUUCGCGCUCCUCUUCGCGCUCGGGCUCAACCAGCUGGCGCGGUGCCUCAUCCGCUGGGCGCGCCGCGCGUCGGAGGCGGAGGCCGGCGCCGGGGCCGGCGGCAGGGGGAGAGGGCUCAAGAGGCGCGCGCUCCGGAGCAUCCCCGUGGAGGUGUACGGCGCGUGCGGCGCCGACGGGGCCGCGGCCGUCGCCGCCGACGUCUGCGCCAUCUGCCUCGGCGAGUUCGCGGACGGCGAGAAGGUGCGCGUCCUGCCGCGCUGCGCCCACGGCUUCCACGUCCGCUGCGUCGACACCUGGCUCCUCUCGCACGACUCCUGCCCCACGUGCCGCGGCACCGUGCUCGAAGCCGCCGAACCCGGCAAAGCCAAGGCCGCGUCCUCCGCCGCCGGGGGGAGCCGGCGGCAGGGCAGCGAGGCUGCUGCUAUCGCGGUGGUCAUCGGAUGACAUGGACAGGAGGGGCCCGCCUGCCGAUUGUUAGCGGGGCCACAGGUAUGCGAGCUUCUUUUGUUCCGUGGCCGUGAGAUAUUUUGCGAUCAGAGGCCGAUCCGUGGGCCCUGUACCAGUUGUUUAUAGUACUCCUAGUUUCCUAGGUCGCACUCGAGUGAAGAUUGCAUGUCGUUCCAUUAUCCGUUCGGCAUGUCCUCUGCUCUGCUCCUGUGCAGUUGCGCUUGCCUUCCUCCUGGCGGUCGCCCCGGUUUGUACAUAGAGAAAGUUUCUUGUACGCCAUGCGAAAUGAUAGCUACCUAUCGUCAAGAAAUCUGAGUUUCCUUCCAUGGCAUUCCCUCGCCUGCCCACUCCCGUUACGUUUGCCGAACGAUGUCUCUGUAAUGGCGAUUUUGGCCGUGUACGGUGAAUCCACUGACGAACUGAACCCAGCCAGCCUCCACCCCCUACGCACCAAUUCAAUCGUCAUCCCAGAUCUUCCCAAAGCAUUAAUUGAUGUAACCUUCUUCGUGCAAGCUUCGAGGUUUCCUCCGGCGGUGGGCUCGCGCCUACCGGCAUGGCAGCGGAGUGCAGAGACAUGACGAGUCCUUUGCAGCGGCGGUCUCCUACGACCUACGGUCCCUCGCAUACUCAGGCAGAGGCAGUGGCUGCAGAAGAAUUAGCCAAAAAUUUGUUCCAUGCUAUCUUAAGGGCGAAACUGUUUUUCCCGGUGACGGACAUAGUUUGCUAUCAUGUAAAGGAGCGCAAAGUUAACAGAUGUCGAUGAAGGGAAGAGAAGUUCUUAAGUGGCAUAUAAAAUGAUAGCUAGAGUAGCUGUUUAGUAUAUAAGGAAUUUACUAGUUUUUAUUGAUUUUAUUACUCGGGUAAUAUUUUUUCGUGACCUUCACUCUGAUUUUGUCGUUGCAUCUUCAUCGUCUUCUCAACAUGUCGGGUUUUCAGGCUUUUGGGGAGGUGAUCCGACGGAUGGGAACUGUUGGGGACCCGUGGGCCGAGGCGUUGGUGCGGGGACUGGUGGAGGCUCUCGUGGGCCGUGUUAUGUUUCGGCCUCUGCUUCAGAUUUGUAUCUAUCUCAUAAACUUCUUUUAGGGGAAAAGAGGGUUCAAGCCCAUGGGUCGGCCCAAUUACUAAAUUCGCCUAUGGAGAUCCAGCAGGGAUCGAUCGCCCAGCAGAGAACUGAAAAGUGCUGCAGAGUCAUGCACGGGCUAGUUUCGGCCCAUUGAGUUUCAGUGAAGUUGGAAUGCAAACUCGAUCCAUGGUCAUCCCAGUCCCGCUCGAGCCAAAACCUUUCAGCGGUUGGCUAUUUCUCUCACGGUUGGUUGCAGCUUGAGGUGCGCCGUUAUUCGCGAGAUUCGUCGGUCUCGGUCAUCAGUCGCUCAGUCAAUCGUCCAGUUUCUCGGUUCUCCUGCGAAGAAGGGAAGACGGCUACCGUCUCAUGCUACCGCUACACCGGUCUUCCGCUGAGACCAAACGGCCAAUCUCAUGUAAUUAUAUAGACCAUUCUUACAACUGAGGUGUUUGGUUUCAGGGUGUUUAUCAUAAACCUCACCAAUAAAUCUCUAAUAAGCUUUUUUUAUUCAAAUAUAAGCGCUUAUAGGUGAGAUUUAUACACAUAAGUCCCUCCAAGGGAUAUUUAUGCAACUUAUUUUCUGUAGACUCUAUCAAAAUAUCCAUUCUUUCCUUCAACUACUCUUAUCUCCCUCACCUACCCCGCAUCCCGCACACUCGCGCUUGCAGCGUCUCCACCCCUCGCGCUCGCAGGUCCUCCGCCUCGGUCUGUUUGCCGGCCGCGCGCGGUCCCACAUCUCCCUUCCUGGCAGCCCUUGUCGCUGCGCUCCAGCUGCCGCCGCGCUCACCCGUCCCUGCGCGCCGCCGUAGAGCUCCCUCACCGCUGCGGUCCUCCCGGCACUGCGCGCCCCCAUCCCCGCCCCUGCUUGCCGCCUUCAACCUCAUUGGGAGAUGGACAGAGAUGGGCAUGACGGCUACCCGGACAACCUUUUGCAGCCUGAUCCCGCCACUUGCUUCGAUUUGUUCUCUCAGGCGGUUUUCUCGGAUCCGGUCAUCCAUGAUCCCCAGAGAGGUAUGGCGGCGCUGGAUCUCAACUCCCAAAUGGAUUUUCCUUACAUGGAUCAAUACCAACAAAUCCACCAGCCCACACUGGGAAGUGGAGGUGCCACCAUGAAGAUCCCGUCAGUGCGCCCGCAAUGCGCUGCUCGAUCUGCUCAAGGUGGUCGUGGAGGAGGUCAGGUUGGUGAGGGUAUCGCAAGGUCCCGGGAUUUCGGAGCUCAUCCACGUGGACAUGGUAUUGGCGGGCGUGGAGUGGACUCAUGUGGAUCCGUUCAUGGAUCCCGUGUAGGACUUCGCGCUGCUCGAUCUGGUUCGGACAGUGCCGGACCUGCCGGCAGCAACGCUGCUGAUGAUUGGGAUGGCGAUGAUGAUGACUUGGAAGAAGUUGCCCAAGGGAGCUCCAAUGUAAGUUUGUCCUUCACUUCACAUUAAUACUUGAUGCAGUUGGUUGUUUCAUGCUUGCUGUAGAUUGUUUGAUCCAUGUAGUAGGUUAUUUGAUGCUUGGAUUAGUUUGUUUGAUGCAUGCAGUAGGUUGUUUGGUCCCUACAGUGAUUGGUGAUAUUCAGUUUUUUAAGUUGUUCAUGGAGGGAUAUUAAUCUUUACACCUUGCGUGAAUUGUAGUGUUACCAAAUAGAGGCAGGGAAUUGGAAUAAUGGCACUAUGAGUGGAAGAGGAUAUAAGAUUGUGUCUGACAAAUAUUAUGCAAGAACUGGUUUGAGGUAUGAUAACAACUCAGGAACCGUGUUAGUAUACUCAAACAAUUCUACCUAUUCUGAAAGAUGUGUAACAACUUUAAUGAUAUUAACGGUGGUCUUAGCGGGGAAGUAAUAGCCAGUCAUCACUGGUGUAAGACCAACCUUUAAGGUAAAUCAUUUGUUUGCCUGUUCAAAGUAUUUUUAUUACGAUGAAUUACAUUUCCCUAAUUGUGAACUUGUUUGUCAUACUACAUGGCAAGUAAAAUAAAGCUGAGUUGAGAAAGCUAAUCCAUGUGGAGGCUAAUUAUUGCUCUCAUCUUGAGAUCAUGUUCAAGAAUGUGGCUAUUGAUAGAACCACCUCAUACAUACCAAGAGAGGAAGAUGAGGAGGAGGAAGAAAAAAAAGAGAAUGAUAAGUUUGAUACUCCUAUGAGUUCAGGGAGCAAGAGGAGAUCAACCAGUACUAGCACAAUAGCUUCAAGUUCUCGAAGAAAAAAGCAAAAGGAGAUUUUAUGAAUAUGAUGAGCACAAUGAUGAAUAAGUGGGGAAGUGUAGAGAAAGGGACCAUGCUGUGAAUUUAAUUUGUUUAUAUGGUUAUAAAAUUAAUUUGUUUAUAUGGUUGUGAAUAUUUUUUGUUUGUUGCUUAUUUAGUUUUUAAAUGGUUUCAUGUUAUUGUUGGAUUAAUAUAUUUUUAUUGUAGAAUGAUGCCGAAAGAAAUUCUGAAACUGAUGGAAAUUGUGAAGCAGCUCGUUUAAUUAAAGAGCCGCCGUUCACACGGCCGAUUCGCAGCCUGCGUGCGUGUAAAUCGUCUGGUGAUCGCCCACGUGAUGCUUUGCAAGUGACUAUGAUCGUGUGGAAGUCGAUGGCAGGACUGCACGCCUGCACUGUCGCUCCGGCAGCCGGGCCAAACAGGCAAACGCAGGUAGCAGAGCCAGAAUUAUGGAGUGACCAGGCCGGUUUCGUUUCAAACUUGGCAUGGAUACCGCAUCGGUGCCUGUUGACCCCAAGGACUAGGAUUUGGACCUUGGACCACGGUUUCCAGCUCGUGAUUAUCCGCACCUUAUAUCUUUUAAUUAUCGCAAGCACGCAGCGGGCAUCCAAACGUGGCCGUCAGAGCCGCGCGCGCGCACAAUGAUGAUUCUGAACUUGGCUGGAACGGCGCAGGUCCAGUAUGGUAUCCCUGGUCAUCAGAAACCCAAGGCAGAGAAGGCCUGCUACGAAUUUCGCAACAUGCCAGAGCGUGGAGGAGGUUGCGAACUGGAUUGCCGCUAGUACUGUUUGUGAGCCCGCUACACGGCAGAGAACGCCGCCACGGGCGAGAGGACCCAGAGCGGCACGUGUCGCUGCUGCCUGGGCAGACCGCGGCCACGGAAGGCGACUUGCUAUCGGAAUGUAGAAUACCGGGGGGCGUGCUGCAUCGCUCUCUUCCCGAGCCUUCCGAAGCCCCGCUACGCUGCCAAGGGAACGGUUCGACGGGCCGUUACUGUCAGGCGGGCGGCAGUGGUGCGGGCGGGAAGGCGCAGCGGGUGACUUGACGGCCACGCCGCCGGGAACGCCCCGCCCGCACCCUUGUUUCUGUCGCCUGCCGCCGGCGACGAAUCCAACGGGGCGGCGGAUGCGCGAUCGGGACCCGGAAGCCGCGCUGGCCGCCAGGCGGAGGGAGGCGGGCCAUUCCGCUGCUGCGACUGCGAGCCCGCGACGUCUGGACGCGCCCCGUCCCUUGUUGCGUAACGCACGGGAGCUCCAGGAAUCGUCUGCCUCCCGCCCAGGGCUCUGACCCCUGCCUGACCCGGCUCGGCCGAUGAUGCAAUGGCAUUUGGCAGCGCCCGCGCGCCGACGGCUUGCGGGCUCCGGGAGCGCCAACGCCAAGAGGAACCAUGUGAAAAGGGGUCAGGUUCCCGAGACGGCCACGGGAACGGUGCGACGGCGACGCUCGUGAGUUCUGUGACGCCGAGCGGUCGGGCGGCGCCACACUAUACUGCUCUAGCCGCAGACAGAACAAGUGGCCGUGGCCGUGAGAGGCACACGACCGGAAAUAUCUUUUAGCGGCAGGUGACACGCGAUGCACGUACGUUCUCGUUUGGACGGGAAAUGCACGUCGUACCGGUACAUACGGUGCGUGCUAGAAGAUGUGAUCAUGUGAAUGGAAACCGAGGCAGGCGUUGAGAACACCGGACAUUCUUUUGGAAAGUACAGUACCACUCCUGCUCCUGCAAACUGCAAAGAAAGGACAAAAAUAAAGUACACACUUUGGGUGCUCCUGUAAUCUAAUCGAAACUACUGGUUGUAAAGGGACCGGAGCUUGGGGCGUGUCCAACAGUUUGUCUCUCAUAUACUUAUCGUCUGCGAUUAUAUUCCCGCCAAUAAUAUACAGUCUCUUCUUCUUCUUCUUCCGCAACAUUUGAAAAAUCGAAGCCUCGCAAUUUCAAAAGUUUAAUAAUAUUAGAUAAUGCAUACAUUUCCUAAUAGUCUGACAGACAUCACCCGUAAACUAGUGUAGUCUUCCCUUUUUAGAUACUAGACGUUCAAUUUAGUUAUUACUCGUAGAUAGUUUUUUUUGUUUAUUCUCAUCGCCAAGUAAACAAAAUUUAAUGCAGAUGUCUACGAAUCCAUAUGUUUCAACAGUCAACACAGCCUGAUUGGUCGCACCAACCAGAUCCAAUCGGACACGACCAACCAGGAUGCGUCACAGUCGCGCGCUCCUGCCCCGCCACGGCACGCCUCGAGAUUCGUGCGGGCGCCUGGAAGCCCCGGAUGAUUGCCCAAUCAUGGCGUCCCCGCCAGGCAGCUCCAUCAAUGCUCGGGCGCGUGGUCCUCACCCUUCGCUCCCCCUCGAGCUUUACUCCCGACCGACCGGUGGCGCUGGGCCGAUCACCGCCGUCGGUCGCUGUUCGGACGGUCGGGAUGCGGUCAAGCGCCUAAACCCUAUCGCCCCCUUCCCUUUCUUUGACUCCAGCUACGCCCUUGGAAAACUAGAAAAUCCCUUGUCUAGUUAUUUUUUUCUCGUCUUUGACCGGCCUGUCAACAUCCGCGUGGGCCCCGCUGCCACCGCGACAUAUCUAUGACUAUGCGGCAUGGUAGAGCUGCAUGCCCGUUCCUCCCCCUUUGACUAAUUUAUGAGGAGGGGCCUUCCGCAUGCGCGCAUUUGCAUCGCGAUCCUUGGAUAGUACUUCUCGCCGGUCACGCACUUCACUUGGACUUUUUCUGUGGGACUGCCCCCUGGAAAAUUCUACUCUGACAACCACUGCUACGUUUUCCUUGCAGAAAUUUCUGCCGAAACCAUUAGGAUACUCUUCGCAGUUCUGUCAAAACCGGAAUUCAAAUUUGCGCUAGAUUUUGCGGCUGUGCCGGUCUGACCACAAUUUCCAUUUAGGUUCUGUUCGUAUUUUGUCGAAAAAACACCAGUACAAUCUGAAACACGUGGCUGAUUUCGGUUGGUCUGCCUGGUGUCGUACGGUUUCGGGGCCACCAUUUUUUAGCUGCACCUGCACUGCAAACUGGCUGCUGCACAGCAGUCUUCAACACUCAACUAAGCACAAGGCAGCUGGUAAAACCUAAUAUGUAGCUGCUGGUAAGCUCACUCUUAAUCCUAUUCAACGCCAAUGUCGGGCUGGUACCAUUCGAUUAAUAAGGGAAAACAAUAACUAACUUUAGAACGAUAAGACCAGCACUUCACGCUGUUCUGGUAUGGUAUCUUAAGAGUAGAUUUUCCAGGUCAUCAGUGCAUGAUUUUUCUAGAAGGAUAGCUGUGUGUUCCAAGGCUUGGAUUCUUCCGUUCAAUUCAACAAGAGGGGCAUAGCGGCGCGGCAAUGACUUCGAGAGAUGCCUGCACGCGAUCCUUUUCAUAGACGGCCAAGUAAUCCAGUCCUCCGACGUCAACAGUGCCUUUUUCUUUAGUACUCACGUCAGUCGAGAAGAACGUGGCUGUGCUAAUAAGAAUGUAAAGCGAGAGGAAUGAUCAAAAUUCUCAUUUGAACAAGGAGGGAUGAGCUAGUGUACUUUUGCUAGUUCCUCCGUUGUUUUGUUUAUUAGAAGGGAGAAGAGGCGAUUAAGCAUUGAGAUGUCAAUUUUCAAAGCCGCCCCGGUUGCACUUUUGCCUUAACCAUCUCUAAGAAACAAAAGGAAGACUGAGAGAAAAGACUUGAUAAUUGCCUAGGUAAUCUUAUGAAUUCCGAAAAAAGCAAGGUCCAUCCAAUAUAGCGGCACCAAUUUUUCCAAGAAGGAAAAUAAACGUAGGAAAAAAAACUAAAUCCUUAGUGCUUGUUGUAUAACCUUAGAACUUGGACCAAUACCUUCGUGUUUGCAAGGAAUUAAAACUAUCCUUUUUCUUAUUAGGAAGCAGUUAUCGUGUGAUAGGUGUGACAUCAUCGAUAUCUAUCAUCUAUGAAAAAACAGUACGAGAUGACAUAUUGGAUGCAUUGUCAUGGCAAUAUCUCACAUACUCGGUAUAACACCCUUUUACUCUGGUUACUGUCUUAGUGUUUUCAAAAUCCAUGUACCAGUUUACUCCAUGUCUUAACCCUUUCAUUGAAAAACUACCAUAUCUUAACCCUCAUGGCCACAAUCUCCUGUGCUCUACUUGCUACUGGCUAUUCCCUUAAUCUCUUAUGCGUCACUAUCAGUGAAUGUGUCAGGUUCCACAUGUCAUAGACAUAUCGGUGAUAUAUAGGGGAUUAUGUGUUUUCUUGAGGGUAUAUAAGGAACCUCUUUCUUUUUAUAAGGCUGAGCUUGAAUCUACGAGGAUGAGUAUGCACGCCUAUACGAGCAUGUAUAUUUGUAUAGAGUUUAAAUACAAUCUUGCCAGUUUAUAAAAAAUACAAUCUCGACCUUCAUGAAAAAAAUCCCGCAAAACUAUUAGGGAAUGUUUGGUCAAGCUGUCCGGAAGGCCUGGACAGCAGCUCCCCAAUUUUAACAUCGGUUGCGUCUCAUUGUUACCCCUUUACCCCCUCUUCUUAGUACUAGUUGCCGAACAAACCCUAGCGACGUUUUUAGUUAUAUAAAAGACAGGCUAUGGUUAGGAGGGGAUCCUUGAAAAAGCAUCAUUAAGAGGGUGGAAUAUAAACGGCCGCCUCGGAGUUGCUAUCUCAAUCUCUCUCUACCUUUGACCGGUGCCGCUCUUCUUCAAGUUAUUUCUCGCCCUCUCUCUCUCUCUAACCUCCAUUUACUUUUCUCGCCCUCGUUUGCCCCUAUAUCUCACGCCCUACCAUUUGCUUUCCUCUCCGGCUCCCUCCCCAUUCCCGUCCCGCGCCCCCCUAGAUGCCAAUCCCUACCUGAGCAGCGAGCGAAUCUCACCCCGUCCCAUUCGCAGGUGCCGCCGUCGCCGUGCCGGAGGAGCCCCAGCUCCGCUGCCGAGGUUCGUGCUCAGGCCCCCGCGCCGCCUCCUGCCUGUUCUCGUGCUUCGCUCGUCAUCUCGAACUGUCACCUGCUUUUUCGGCGGUGUUUUGAGCUCGCUGUUCGCCGGGCCGGCUGCGAGCUGUUCCCGCUUCGGCUUGGAUCUUCUCCUCGUCUGGCUAAUCUCGUGUCAUUCGGUUCUCACGUGCUGCGGGUUCAUCCGAACAUCUGCUGUCCAGCACCUCGCAUUGUAGAUUUCGCGGAACUGGAGCUUUGGAUUUGGGCGUAUAAGCUCUGGGUGACCGUCUGUAUGGUGUCGAGGGCCGUCCCGAUUGCAUACAGGCCGAGUUCACCGGGUUUGUGUCGAGUCAUCCUUGGUUGGUAGAGUCAAUUGCUUAGUUGUGCACGAACGCUUAUUUUAGAUUUUUAGUUGGUCGCGUGACCGAAAUGGCUAGUUUGGUUUGAGUAGGUGAGAGUUCGACUAUUCAAUUUCAUCGGUCUUAAUGCGGGGGUAGUUGCGGGCACGCGCAGUUUCUGCGAAAUUGAGCUGCUUACCAACUAGUGAUGUGUUCAGAAAUCGAAUGAUGCAUAUGUAGACCAAUGCUAGAAAUUACCCGCAGGUUGAUGUAGUAUGUAUGGUUGCGUCUAGACUGAUUGGUGAUAGUACUCUGCAAGGAAAAGGGCCUUUGGUAGUUCAGGUGUUAUCUCUACUUUGCUGGUGAUGGUUCCCUGGUUGGUUUAUUCAACCGAGAUAUUUCUUCUUGCAUGAUUUUGACUGUUGUUGAGGAUUUAGCUUCAAUAAGUGCGGAACAUGAUACAUGACACUAGUUUUGUGCUGAUAUUGACUAAGUAUCACAAUGUAACAAGGAUCUGCCUAAUUUUUGCAAUAUGUGCUAACUUUUCAUUUUUUUGGAUUCAUGCAGAAAUUUUCCCUGGUGUACGGAUGAUGGGUUGCUUCACUGUUCUCAGAUCCAAGAAGAAGAAAGGCCCUCUUGAUAAUCCUUUUGCUCCGAGCAAGAAAUCGGUUGAUGCUAGGGAAAGUACGUCCUCUAGACUUCCGGAGCCAGAAGUUCAUGUGCCAUCCUUGCAAUCAGCUCCUCCUAGUUUUAGGGACAGGGCUAAAAUCUCCCAGUCGGCAAAUAAAGUUUAUAACAGCAGAGCUCGUGUGUUGUCUGCUCCAUCAACCCUUAUUGUGGUUGAUCAGUUUGGCUUUCCAUACGCUGAAUAUGGAGAUCAAGAUGACUCCAGGGAUAAGGAAGGUUCGACAAAGGGGCACCGCUUUUCAAAUCCUUUGCCCCUUCCUCUUCCUUCACCGGAAGGACAUUCUUUGAGGAACUUUGGUAGCUUCAAAGCCAGCAACGUAAGUGGGCCACUGGAGAUGUCUGGCCCUCUCCCACUGCCUCCAAAGAAAUGUGAUGGACUUAGAAUCUUCUCUUAUGAGGAAGUUUCAUCUGCUUGCCAGUGGUUUUCUAGUGAUCAGUGUGUUUCAGAAACACUUGGUUCAACAUCAUAUAAGGCAACCUUCAGGGAUGACUUUAGUGAUACAAAGACCACAGAAGCAACAGUAGCUCGAUUACUACCCUCCACUCAGGUACUUUAUAUUCCCGAAACAAUUUAGUUACAUAUUUUCUUAGCUGUUGUUGACAUUUGGCUUUUGGUGUGCAAAUUGCUUAUAAGGCGAAUUUCAUUUGCUACUUUGGCCAGCUUGCCGACAGAGAUGUCUGGCAUUUUAUGACAUAGCUUGAUACUGCAUGGAUAUAUCAUUCAGUAAUUUUACAGCAUUUAAUAUUCUAUCAAGGACCUGAAUUCAUGCUAUAGUAUCAGACUCAUUUUAUAGGCAGGUGACCAAAAGCCUAUUCUACUGACAUAUGCUAUGCUGGGGCCAUAAUAAAUAUACCAUUCCAUUUUUUGAAUGCUAAUUAGGAUUUAGGACCACUGCAGAUGUGGGGUGGGUAACAUGUUUCUGAAGCGACCAUGUGUUUGUUCUUGUUUCUACUAUUUACUGCAAACUGCUUUCUAUACUUCACUUCUUGGUUUUGUCUCCGGUCAGUUGUUAUGUCGCCCUACUGAUGUUUAUUUGGUUAUUUGAGAUUUCAUGCCUUCCGUUGCAUGCAAUUUAUAAUGCAUGGUCCUCGAUGUAGAGAACUUUUGGUCUAGUACCCACUCCUAGGCAAUGCCUUAUUUGCGUCAGAAAAUAUUUUGGAGUGAAUGUAGCUACUAGCCUGCAAUGGUUGAUAGAACAUAAAAUUCUAUGUGAUAAAUUGAAUAUCGUUACCUUUUAUCAUAGGCUGAUGUGUCAAUCAAGUUUAUUGUGUUAUACUAAAGUAGUAUUCACAAUCGAGCUCAUUAUUUCUGCUGAUGCAACACAUUGACAUACUGUUUAUCACCAGCAGAGUUUGAAGGAGUUUAAAGCGCAAGUGAACACAUUAGCAUCGCUUCAGCAUCCCAAUUUAUGUAAAUUAAUCGGCUAUUAUGCAAGAGAAGAUUCCAAUGGAAGGAUGUUGGUCUAUGCGCGGCUUCAUCAUGGCAGCUUAGAUAAGCUACUCUUUGGAAGAAUGGAUGGUCGUUUCAUGGACUGGUCUAAACGUUUAAAGGUUGCUCUUGGUGCUGCCAGAGGUCUAGCUUUCUUACAUGACGAAGGACCUUUUCAGGUGAGAACUACUUGAUUUAUUGUUUUAUGACGUUACGUGUAAGUUGUGGUUUUAAUUUUGCUUGGCUUCAACCACCUUAUCCUGAUGUUUUGGCUUUAACUUGUAUUUGUGUUUCUGUUUGUUUCCAGGCCAUGUACAGUGAGUUCUCAACUUCGAACAUCCAAAUAGAUAAAGAUUUCACUGCUAAGCUUUCAGGCUAUGGUUGUGUUGGCUUCAGUACUGAGGAGGAGAUAUCUAAUGCACCUGUGGUAUGUUUUGUCCUAAUGCAAUGUAGAUGUUUAUAUUAUCCCUUGAGUGGCAGCGACCUAUUCACUGUAACAUAUCAUAUCCUUCCAUUGGUUUGAAUAGUGUGCUCAGCAAUAUCUAUUUCUUUAUUCAGUUUGCAUGGGUUCUCUCAUAUGUUUUUUUUUAUUAUAAGAAGCACUGGGUGCAGUUAACAAAUAUAUAAUACUGUGAGAUAAACUAGCUGCAUUGUACCUAUUAUUUAUCAGUACCAUAUUGUUCACUGGAGAUUUGUUUUCUUCAGUCUGCAGCAAACCUUUCAGUGGAGACCUUGGAGAAAGGUUUACUCACUCCCAAGAGUAUUGUGUGGAGCUUCGGAGUUGUGUUACUGGAGCUAAUAACCGGAAGAAAGAACCUUGAUGCCAGGUCCUCCAAAGAAGAACGCAAUAUUGUCAAGUGGAGUAGGCCUUUCCUUACCGAUGACAGUCGCCUAUCCCUGAUCAUGGACUCCCGUAUAAAAGGGCGCUUUCCUACUAAGGCUGCUCGGAUAGUAGCAGACAUAAUUCUGAAAUGCUUGCAUAAAGAUCCAUCAGAGAGGCCAACGAUGAGGGAUGUUGUGGAGGCCCUAGCAGGAGUCCAGGAAAUAAAGGUUCCGUGCCGAUAUCCUCUGCAAGAGCCGUCUGCCGCACCAAGAAAAAUAAUGUUAAAAUCUACAUCCCUCAAUGGAAUUGUGCCCCAGCAUCCUAUUAUAACCUUCUCUCCGUCGCCACCUUCGCAUAACCAACACUUGAUCUCACCAAGGUCAUCGACAUCUGCUUUGCUUCAUCCAAGGAUGUGCUCCCCUACUCUGGAUGAUCCCAGGGUAAGCUCUACGAAGAAAACGCCUCCCCCUAUCAUGCGUAGGUCUAGCGUAGAAGGCUUUUGAAUGUCCAUACUGUUCUUUUAUUUCCUUUUCUUCGAUUUAUUUGUUUCUUUGUUAGCCUAGUGAUUUUUAGUGCUAUGUGCUGUAUUGUAAGACAAGUGGCCUUAUGUAAUGCCCUUGAGUAAUAACUAAGCAGAGCAGGGUGAAUUGUAAAUAGGACCAGGUUGUAGAUACCUUUUUGUGCUCUAAUUGGAUGGAAGCGAGCGUGCUGAGUGGGCCAUGUUACCUCAUUAUGCAAUAUAAACUCGUGUUACCCGGUUUCUGUUCGCCCGUACGCCAAACCUUUCAGCUGGUUCCUUUGGGCGCCAAGUGUUAGGUGCCUUGCAUCAGUUGCUUGUCGGCAAGCACUUUGUGUUAUCGAGUGUCGCUAUCCACAUGACGAUCUCAUGUGACAUGUUGCAGCUGGUACAAGGAAACUGUUCAUGACAUCUGUUUCAGUAGUUGGAGAUGCUGAAUUCCUGUCUGUGGAAAGUUUGUUCGUUUAAUCUAUCGUCGCAAUUGUUGACGCUGGCCCAGCCUGAUUGCUUCUUUGCCUGAGAUUUCUCAAUAGCGAGUCGUUGCUCAUCGCGCGCUUGUUGUUCCGUUGCAUUCUCGAUUUCUUUGUCCAGCACGCGUUUCGGAGAUGUUAUAUUCUGAAAUGGAACGUUUUUGUUGGUGUGUAGCUCAUGAUGUUGUAUACGUUUUUGUUGGUGUGCAGCUCAUGAUGUUGUAACGGUAGGUAGUGCAGAUUUGUUGUACCGUCAUUGGCAUCUGCAGUCAAUCGACUAUUCGUAGACCAUGGUUCAGCCGUUUCUGUCGAAUGAUCUGAACGACGGCUGCACAGUCACGGCGCGUUCUGUAUUCAACUGCACGCCUGGAAGAUUAGUCCAUCUGCAGAUUUUGUUUGAUAACAAGGUUGUCUAAUGUGUCCUUUUUGGCCUGGGGCAGGCAGGGUGGGUGAAAAUUUCUCCCCAGAUUCAAUCCACGUUCUUCACCAGAUCACCAUCUGUCUGCCGGUUGGUGAUGCGUGCUCUUUUUGACCGGUUUGUUCUCUACCGGGAUGUGAACGACCAGAACUAACCGUGAUUCUAUGAAUCUGGAGUGCAUGACUGUGAACGGAGAAUGGCCGAACGGUGUCGCUAACAGCUGUGCAAACACGACUGAUCUUCCAACCGAAGCCUUCGGCGACCUAGCGUCACUUUCUCGGCUUUUCCUCUUUGCCGGCAGCGAGGUUGUGAAGACAUGGACAUGGGAAGGUCCCCGUUGCCGUUGUUCAAUGCCAUCAUUCGGUCCCGCGGCCGCGGAAGGCCCGAACCAGAUCAGCUGUAGUGGUCGUCGGGUCGAUCAGGUCGGGGUUAGAUCCGUCCAAGGGGAAAAAAGUUCAGCGUGCACGAGCCCGUACUAGCUUUGUCACUGUGCGUGCGUGCGUGUCUAGUGUCUACCACCACCGGUGCCGGCAGGAGGGCACCGCCCACGCCACCAUCGGUGCCGGCGCCGCAGCCACCGAGACCGAGUGCAUACUGCGAUCCGCCCCCGGAUGAGAUGGCGGCGUGCUGGCCGCCGGCCGCUCGCGCGCUCCUCUCAUCUGAUCAUCUCUCGCUGGAGUCUUCGGCGACUCGCGCGCACGCAAUGCCGCCAGCCGCCAGGCCCAGCCAUCGUGGCACGGCAGAAAGGCCCAGCAGCGAAUUCCCCCCGGCCCACCAAUUUAAACAGCGCAAGACCUAAAGCGCGGUUUGGGGAAAAUUUCCCCAAAAAUCAACCCAGAACCGCAGACAAAGCACCACGGCACGCAAAUUCUCGAACCCCGUACUCCAACGAAUUCCCGAAUCCACUACCUGUUCGAGCACCGGCAUCGAAGCGGAGGAAACGCGCCGGAAUCUGUCGGCCAUGGUGGCCAUGCCCGCCCGGAUCCACCGCUCGGAUGAGAAUCCCGGUAUCUCCCGCAUUAAUUUUGCCCUAGAUCGACGGGGUGUCUCGGAUCUCUUACGCUGUUAGCUGAAUUGUUCCGGAGACGAAGGAAUCGCUGCCGCUGGGUACAGAUGAGGCCAAGCAGCAGCCACCAAGCCUCUCCACGGCGGCCCUCUGCCUGGAAGGGUACCACUGGCUUCGACUCGUAUUUAUGUUGUUUUUUUUCGAACAAUAAUCGUACUCAUAGUCGCUUAGUUCUGUUAGACUAUGCGGGCCAAAUUACUGGAUGAAGUGUUCGAAUCCAACGGCCAAGGCUUGUGCCAGGCCUGAAGUUGUGUUUGGGCUUGAUACAGUGCCGGCCAUAUUGUGGUGUAGCACUCAAAUUAGUGGGCAUUAUUGGAAUACGGGCCGAUCGUUUCUCAGUGUGAUAAAUAUGACAGUACUAGUCCUGGUUUACGCUGCUAUUGCAGCUGCAUUGGUCAUAUGAAGGCUAAUGUCAAAUUGAAAAGGAUAAUCUAGCAAGCAUGCUAAUGGCUAACUGCGUUUUUCCCUAAAAAAAUGGCUAACUGUGUUUGCAGCUCAUUUGUUGGCUAAUGGCCAUCAAUAUAUCACUGUUGUUGUUCUAUAGUUCCAGAUCUUCAAGCAAUUGACUGGUUUAAGUGUGUACUAUUUGGAAGCAUCGGGCAUCACUACCUGAAGUUACAAGAUUGGUGGUGCAGAAUGCAGAGUGCAAACUGCUCUCUCUACUGCUUGUUCUCUAGUCCUUUCGUAUCAGGACUGAUACACAUGGACACAUGGUCGUAUUUGUUGGGGCUUUAUGAAAAUCUGCUAUAUGCAUCAGCCGUAAGGAGCUACGUGCUCAUCAACAGUUGCUCUGUUUCAAGUUACAUGUCUUACUCUUAUAGCUUCGGUAUCCUUUCUUAUCUGCAAUUUGAGUAGCGAUUAUUCCAAAAAAAAAAGAAUAGCUAUGUUUUGAAUGACUGUUUUCAUCUUGGAUUCCUGAACUGCAGAUUGCCAAUCUUCAUGCUAUCUUCGUGGCUUUACCGUAUCAGGCCCUACUGCACUGCCAUUGAAGUACACUUCAUGUCUCAGUCCAAGCAGAUCUCUUAUGUGAUACUGAUUAGUCUGUACCUUCCCGAACCUGACAUAGUCUGUUGCAUGCUGAACCAGCUUGUCUGGGAAAUCACUCUGAAGUUCUGCAUUUAAAAGUUAAAACCAAGCACGUCUCUUAUGUAAGUUUUUAACCUUUUUGACUGUUUUAAUAGAGAUUUUGCGGAAUUGAACUUACUACUGUUAUUUCUGGGUCCUGGGUUCGAAUGAUAACGGGACCUACUUCAAUUAUUCUCUGUUAGUCUGUUAUAGAUGUGUGCUCUGAUCCAUAUGUGCUUGUAAAGCUUGUGGUAGUCAUAUAUGAUACUGUCGCUUGGGAGGUGUUGGGAAACAGCUCUGGUUCUCACUCUAUGUAGGUCAGCACUGCCCACUGGUCCACACAUUCCUUUUCCCUUUUGCCUUUAUGUCUCUUUGCCUCUAACAUGAUGUCCCUAAGGCCCUAACCCUGCUGUCCUGCUUUUGGGCAAUAUAGUUGUCAUGAUCCCUAACAAUGUGUUUGGUCAUUGACUCAUUAGGUCAUACUGAAGCUUGUUGGACCAAUAUGUGCUUGCAAAGGGAUUUGUGGUUCAAUUCACAGCAGUAUUGUUUGCUUAACCAAAUCCUGUAUUUGAAUUUUCCACUCAUCAUAAAAGAUGUGAAUACUUUUUUUCCUCUAUGGUCUCAACUUUCAACAUUUAACCAAUUUAUUCAUUUUUUCUCUAUUCAGUGCAAAUUUUUAGUAUUAAGAACUAUUGUAAUUGAUGUUGUGGCCUGCUAUGUUUUUUUAACUUCUAGAUCUGCAUUUUCUUGCCAUCACGUCCUUUAGGAAUAUAGUGACUGGUGGGUGCAGUGUGGCUCUCCUCUCAUGAUGCCUGCCCAUCUAUAGACUUCACUUGAUAUGAGCUGUUGGCAACAAUAAUUCUCUGAGUAUCGGUUGGGCCACGACAUUCUAUUUGCAUAUCAAAUGUUCCUGACCAUAUCUAUUUCGUUUGACAUUUUUCUUAUCAUCAGUGAUACAGCAUUUUUACCAACUACUGGAACACUUUGAGGAUUUGAGAUAAGAUUUGGUGAAGAGCAUGGAUUUGUCUGUAAUAUACUAUAUAGUAGUAGGUAGUCUUCUUGUGGCUAGCAUGUUCUUUCUUGUGGUAAAGAAUAGGAUGUACAGUUAGCGGGGCUAUUAUUCUACAUGCACAAUUGUCAUUUGGCUGGUAGUUCACGCCUGCUACCUUGCUUGAUUUUUUUUUUUGAGGACUUACCUUGCUUGAAGUUGGUUGGCACCAGUCAAGUACACUAUCCAAUACUAAUUCCUGUAAACGUGACCUGGCUGGAAAGCUGCUUGGCUGAUUCUCCAACAUUUUGAUGUUUCUGAUUCCUGUUUUCCGCAGGUGCUAGCCCUCUCUUUGGAGAGCCUUCUGGUUAAUCUUGCUUCAAUGAAGAUGCUACUUUGCUGGAGAAAGAAGAUGCCAAAGGUGCAAUCUCUCACGAUGCUGUUGUAUUUUGAUUUGCUUUUGUUUCUGAUUUAAUCGUUGCAAGAAUGGCAGGAACAGAUAGGCCUUUUGCUAUCAAAGUCUAACAGAAGUCGCAAUGUUCUACUUUUACACUUGAAGUUCGAAGUGGUAGGAAGGCAGUGUGGUCCUCAUAAAGCAAAUCAAACCCUCUUUUUUACAAGAAGAGGACCAUAUAAAUAUAUGCUUUUCCUUUUUAUUUUGUCCAGAAUCUCAAGUUUCUUUUCAUUCUUCUUUGAGGCAAGUUUCUUUUCAUCGAGAGUUCAGAUUCUUGCAACUAUCCAUAACAAUCUGUUACCAUUCAUCCAACCUUGAAGCUACUUUAGUAUUCUUGCUCCAACUAUUACCUGACUAACAGUUGAUACCAGUUUUCUCUAUGACUGACGUCUUCUCAAAGAAUUGACUGGGUCUUACAAAUUUAAGUAAAUACUAUCAGUCACCAAACAAAGUGCCAAACAAAUCUGCACAUGCCACCUCUCCACACAAAGUAGCUACAGGGUACAGUUAGUGGUCUGUAAAGUCAAUUAGUAGAAAAUCUGCUGUUUACAAUAGCAUAGUUUAAAGCAAGGUGACAGAGCCCGCUAUUGAAUCAUUCUUUGCAUAAAGCUACAGGCAUCUGCAUGUGGGUGUGGAUCUCAGAAGGUAACUUGUGCACAAAGACUAAUUGAGACUGCAUCAUGAGAGGCAUCAGUAACACAGGCAGCCUGUGGGGGACACCAUCAGCAACCCUGCAUGAUUCUCCUCUCACCGCAAAGCAUUCCGGUUUGCUCUCCUGCCUCUCUUAUUAUAUCCUCCCUUUCUCAUGCUCCUUGUAUCCUAGUCCCUUGCAUAAUCUAUGACACAGUUGCAACAAUGAAACCGUAUCUUGGAUCCACAUGUCAGUAACAUAAUAUUAUUGUGUAUUCCAUUGCGUAUAGUAUACUCUACGCUGAAUGCAAAUUAACUGCCAUUGGCUCUAAGCAAUUUGUUUACUUAUACUCCACAUAGAAAAUUUACAAUGGCAUUGCAAGGAAUCUGAUCUCACUUGCAUGCUGGAUGUUUAAAACUUGACUGCCCAUAUCACUGUGCGACUGGAUGUAUAUGGCGCUAAAUUUUGAAUUUUUCGAAUGGUUGUCCUUGGCUCACCCACCGGGUCGGGGCGUGGGUGACUGGGCAUACCUGCCCCCGUGCUGCGACGCCACCCCAUUCCUAUGCUGCUCCAGAUCGCAAUAAGUUCACAUUAAAUGCCCCUGUUCUGAACAAAAGCGGCCGGCGUAAAUGAGAGUUGUUGCGGGGCAUUGAAUACAAGCAACCUUCAGGCACUGCUGACAAGCGUAGGCCUGGAAUCUUAAGUGGCUGUUUAGAUCAGUUUGCAAAAACGUAAAAAAAAAAAUUUCAAAGUAAUCUUACCAAUUUGAAGUACUAAAUGAAGUCUAUUUGCAAAACUUUUUGCAUGGAUGGGUUGUAAAUCACGAGAUGAAUCUAAUGAUGCUAAUUAAUCCAUGAUUAAGCAAUAAUUAGCGGAUGGUUACUGUAGCAUCACUGUUGCAAAACAUGGAUUAAGUAGGCUUAUUAGAUUCGUCUCGCGAUUUACAACCCAUCCAUGCAAAAAGUUUUGUAAAUAGACUUCAUUUAGUACUUCAAAUUAGUAAGAUUCCUUUGGCAUCUUUGCGUUUAUAGCUUUUUUGCGUUUUUGCAAACUCAUCUAAACAGGCCCUAAACUUUGGCAAAUUUCUGACGCACGCUUUUGUUUUGAAGUUCCAUAAACAGGGCUAAUUGCUUGGUCGGACAGAAUUCAAAGGUAAAUCGGCACAAAAAAUCUAUUACUUCCGGUUAAUUCAGUUCUGAAACCCAUUUUUUAUUCUACUGUCAUUACUUCUCGUUGUCUCCGGUGAAUUACUGAAUGGUGAUCAGUCAGGAAAAUCAAGUUUUGGUUCAACUGUUGUCUCGUAUUGUUAUUUUAUUGCUAUGCUGUGAAGUAGAAAUAUUACAGCCGGAUCGCAGCAUACCCGUAUACUAUGCUUGCUGCGAUAUGCACUGUCACUAGAAUGAUUUUGACAAUACAUUAGAGAUUUGAGGCGCACUUGGCAUAAAGGGGUAUUAGCAAUGAAUCAGGAGCGCCAUGCUUAAGAUAAAUACCAGUAAAUCCACUCCAGCUAAGAGAAAUUAAAGGCAAAUAAAUGAACAUUCUAGCAUGCCGCUGCUGCGACGCUAACCAUGACGGUGGUCGCGAACUAGCGAUGCCACACGCGAUCGAAUUUGUUGGAACGGCCGAACUGCACAAUACUGUCAACCCACGCACAGUAUAACACCAUGGCAAGAGAUGCCUAACCACUUCUCCAAUCCUUGUUACUUUUUUUCCUUUUGCCUUAUUUAUCAAAUGAUUAGCUGAAUUGAAUGAGGUAAAUCUAUGAAAUUUUCGGGAUUUAGGUCGGAUUCGUCGCUAUGGAUAUGGUUUUUGCCUACAUUGCUACGAUGGAAUUAAAUGUUUUCCAGAAAAACAUAUCCUUUUGGGCAAAAGCGGAUGGAAGCGAGGAAACAGAUCAUUUUGUCCAUUUCCUAUUUGUUCUACUCGUAGCACAUUAAUAGCAGCACAAGGGGGGCCUCCUCUCCUUCUAGCUUCCCCUCCCUGGCUCUCUCCCCACGGCUCCGCCGCGCUGCGCUACGCCACUGCCCCCACCCCACUCCUCCCCGCACUGCCCCGGAGCUGCUCCGCGCAAAUGGGCAGAGCGCCGCUGUGAUCCCUCCACCCUCCUCGCUCCUCCUCCUGCCCCGCCGCGUCGCGAUGGCCGCCGCCUGCCCGCUCCUCCUGCCCCUCGCCGCGCUGCUCCUCGCGGCGGCCGCGACGACGGGCGCGCUCACCGACGACGUGCUCGCGCUGGUGGUUUUCAAGACGGGCGUCUCGGACCCGUCGGGCCGCCUCGCCACGUGGACCGAGGACGACGACCGCCCCUGCUCCUGGCCGGGCGUCGGCUGCGACGCGCGCACGGGCCGCGUCACCUCGCUCGCGCUCCCGGCGGCGUCGCUCUCGGGCCGCCUCCCGCGCGCGCUGCUCCGCCUCGACGCGCUCCUCUCCCUCGCGCUCCCGCGCAACAACCUCUCCGGGCCCGUGCUCCCGAACCUCCUCGCCGCGCUCCCGCGCCUCCGCUCCCUCGACCUCUCCUCCAACCACCUCGCCGCGCCCGUCCCCGCCCAGCUCUUCGCCCAAUGCCGCUCCGUCCGCGCCAUCUCCCUCGCGCACAACCAGCUCUCGGGCUACAUCCCGCCCGCCGUCGCGUCCUGCGCCUCAAUCGUGUCCCUCAACCUCUCAUCCAACCGCCUCGCCGGGCCCAUCCCCGACGGGUUGUGGUCGCUGCCUUCGCUCCGCUCUCUCGACCUCUCCGGCAACGAGCUCUCCGGGAGUGUGCCCGGCGGAUUCCCCCGGAGCAGCUCGCUGCGGGACGUGGAUUUGAGCCGCAACCUCCUCGCCGGGGAGAUACCGGCGGAUGUCGGCGAGGCGGCGCUGCUCAAGUCACUGGAUUUUGGGCAUAAUUUGUUCACGGGCGGUCUGCCGGAUUCACUCCGCAGGCUGACCGGGCUGCGGUUCCUCGGCGCCGGUGGCAAUGCGCUUGCAGGGGAGCUGCCGGCGUGGAUCGGCGAAAUGUGGGCGCUGGAGCGGCUUGACUUGUCGGGCAACCGAUUCGCCGGCGACAUUCCCUACACCAUCGCGAACUGCAAGAACCUUGUGGAGGUCGACCUAAGCCGUAAUGCGCUCACCGGCGAGCUUCCCUGGUGGAUGUUCGGCCUGCCGCUGCAGCGCGUCUCGGUGGCCGGCAACCAGCUCAACGGCUGGGUCAAGGUGCCCGAGGACGCUGCAAUAGCGCUUCGUGUGCUGGACCUGUCGAGCAACGCGUUCUCCGGCGAGAUCCCGCCGCGGAUCACUGCCUUUGCGGGUUUGCAGUCUCUGAACCUGUCCUCGAAUUCCUUGUCGGGGCAGCUGCCGGCCGGCAUUGGCGGGAUGAGGCUGCUCGAGGUGCUCGACUUGAGCGUUAACCGACUUGACGGAACCGUGCCCUCGGAGAUUGGCGGCGCGGUGGCGCUCCGGGACCUCCGGAUGGGGAGGAAUUCGCUCACGGGACGCAUCCCCGCACAGAUUGGGAACUGCAGCUCUAUCGUUUCACUGUAAGUAAAUUGUUUUUUUCUUUCCUUGAAUUUUUACCCAUAUUGUCGAAUGAAAUUUGACGUCAUUGCGAUUGCUUGUGAGUGAAGUUGACUAGGCCUAUUUAUUUUAGCUUUCUUGACUGCUUUGAUUUGUUUCAGUUUCCUAGGUUCCAGAGACGUUGUAGAAAGUGAUGUAGGACAGUGAUGUCGUAUUUUCUGUUUGGAACCCCAACCCGCAAUUUAUGGGUCUGUGUUGUCACCUUGUUUUGCUCGCAUCCCAGUAUCCGGUCAUCAUUUUUUUUUUAUCUGGAUGCACUCAAAACUGAAGUCAAAGGUCUACAUCAGCAGGAUGUGGAACACUUGUUAUCUCAGUGCUAGUGGUACUGUAGUUAGUUAUGACUUGAACAUUCUGAAUCGUUUUAAACCAGAUCUGUGCUCUUCCAAUGCAGGGAUUUGUCACACAAUAGCCUCACGGGGCCAAUUCCUAGCACCAUGGGCAACCUGAGCAGUCUCCAGGUGGUCAAUCUCUCUCAGAACAAGCUGAACGGGACCCUACCAGUGGAGUUAUCCAAUCUGCCUAGCCUCCAAAUCUUCGACGUCUCCCACAACAUGCUGACAGGGGAUCUGCCCAAUAGCCGCUUCUUUAACAACAUCCCUGACUCCUUCAUCAUGGACAAUUCUGGUCUCUGUAGCUCACGGAAGAAUGAUUCAUGCAGUGCUGUUUUGCCAAAGCCGAUUGUGCUCAACCCCAACUCUUCAUUGAAUCCUUCAUCUCAGGCUGCACCUAGUGCACCUAACAACACGCAUCACAAGAAGAUCAUACUGAGCAUCUCCACCCUCAUUGCCAUUGCGGGUGGGGCUGCAAUUGCUAUCGGAGUGAUCACCAUAUCUGUGCUGAACCGCCGCGUCCGUGCCCGUGCAGCUGCCUCCCGCUCAGCACCUGCUACUGCAUUAUCUGAUGAUUACCUCAGCCAGUCCCCGGAGAAUGAUGCUAGCUCCGGGAAGCUUGUCAUGUUUGGUAAGGGCAGCCCUGAGUUCAGCGCUGGUGGGCAUGCGUUGUUGAAUAAGGAUUGUGAGCUUGGGCGUGGAGGCUUUGGUGCAGUCUACAAGACAGUUCUCAAAGACGGACAGCCGGUAGCCAUCAAGAAGCUUACUGUCUCUAGCUUGGUCAAGUCAAAGGAUGAUUUCGAGCGGCAAGUAAAGAUGCUUAGCAAGGUGCGGCACCACAAUAUUGUCGCGCUCAGAGGCUUCUACUGGACUUCAUCACUGCAGCUCCUCAUCUAUGAUUACCUGCCCGGAGGAAACCUGCACAAACACCUGCAUGAGUGCAAUGAAGAUAACUCACUUUCCUGGAUGGAGAGAUUUGAUAUCAUCCUCGGUGUUGCCAGAGGGCUGACAUACCUGCACCAGCAUGGGGUCAUCCAUUACAAUCUCAAGUCAAGCAAUGUGCUACUGGAUAGCAAUGGGGAGCCAAAGGUGGGUGACUAUGGCCUCGCCAAGCUGCUGCCAAUGCUGGACCGGUACGUGCUGAGCAGUAAGAUCCAGAGCGCACUUGGGUACAUGGCCCCAGAAUUUGCUUGCAAGACGGUGAAGAUCACCGAGAAGUGCGACGUAUAUGGCUUUGGGGUGCUGGUGCUGGAGGUCUUGACGGGCAGGAGGCCCGUCGAGUACUUGGAAGACGACGUGGUUGUGCUAUGUGAUUUGGUCAGGAGCGCGCUGGAGGAAGGCAGACUGGAAGACUGCAUCGAUCCGCGACUGUGCGGCGAGUUCCCCAUGGACGAGGCCCUGCCCAUCAUCAAGCUGGGCCUCGUCUGCACCUCGCAGGUGCCAUCGAACCGGCCUGGUAUGGGCGAGGUGGUGAGCAUACUCGAGCUGGUGAGGAGUCCUCAAGAUAGUGCCGAGGAAGAGCUGGUUUGAGCACUAUCUAGGAUCUCUGUUCUAAUUCGCCUUGAGCCUUUUUCUUUUUUGUUUUCUGAGAUGCAUAUAUGAUUGCCCGUUGGGGAAGAGAGGAGAAGGUGGUGCAGCCAGUGCAGUGCAGAGAGUGGAAUGCUUGUAAUGUGUUCAGAGUUUUAGGGAUGCAAAGGCCGUGUGUUGCUUCUCUGAAAAUUCUUUUGUUCCUUGGUUGGAAUAGUUACUACUUAGCUCGUGUAGGUAUUGACUCGAUGCAAUGCGAGCCAGGGCUGGUGAUAUACCCGGCAUAACCAGGUGACUGAUGUUCAUGGGCGGCUCUGCUGCUGAUAGUGCGACUUUUGUUUGACAGAAAUUGCUCAACAUCUUCAUUUGAGAUCUGUCUUCUUGCUUUGCUCCCUGUUACUUUUAACAGAUUAACUUGCUAGUUGCUAGCCAUUUCUUUUUACUCAUUCGGUGUUAGACCAAUCGCGAAUUUCUAGUAACGGAACAAACUGGAAGCACUCCUAUUUUCCCGUCGAAAAGGCAUGCCUUCAGAGAGUCAUCUGAGCCAGGGUCAAACCACAAACAUCACCUGCCCUUUG
rnacentral:lncRNA from 1 species